GUUUUCCUUGUUUAGCUUAGUCUUUCCUCAUGUUUCCGUAUCUCAGUUUUCCCCGUAGCCAUAGUAACCUAAUUCCCUCAGUUCCCUACACCCGAUCACCAUACCUGAUCACUCACCCUGAUUACCUGCUUCUCCUUCCCAUUGUCUCACUACUCACUUCCCUCUGUAUAAAAGCUUACCGGUUUCACUUAUUCCCCGUUGGUUCCUCCUGUUACCUUCCUGUGUCUCUGGCUCCGUGUCCUUGUGAAAUUCAUUUAUUUAUCUUUGAUUAAAAGGAGAUGUCUAAGACUGUGUGGCAUCCAGGCGUCUGUCUGCAUCCUGGUUUCAACCAACCACAAACCCUGACACAUACAGAUGCCGCCAGGAUUCCCAGGUGUGGAGGGUAGCAGGUGUUUCUCAUCUGCAGUCAUCUGGAGGAGUAUAAGAAAGUGGAGCUGUCAGCACUCCAGUGCCUGAGUGUUUCCCUUUGUGGUAACUUCAUCGGGCCAAACCUUAAAGACCAUAGUUUUGCUGAAGCUUGCAGUGUUCUUACCCUUUCUUGUGCUCCUUCCUAGGUGACUUAAGGUCCAAGCCUCAAAGCUCCUGCAAUUCUCAGCCCAGGUUCCAGGUCCCUGCUUUGCAUCCUGCCAAAGUCAAGUUUUCUGGCUCCCAAGUAAUCUACUUGGAUCAAGUACUAGCUGACAGCUCCAAGCCUCUAUCUUCCUCCAAGCGAACCCUGCUCACCCUCCACCUGAUAACUAUCCACUUUCAACUUUUGAAAACCUCACCAGAUUCAUCAUCAGUUUCACUGCUCUCUCAGGCUCCACAUCAUCCUCUCUCAUCAAACUCACCUCCAUCCACAUCUGCAGUUUCCAGUCCCGGUUCCAAUAUUCUCCUAAAAUAAACUUGUUAAAC